rnacentral:rRNA from 1 species
GACGAACGCUGGCGGCGUGCUUAACACAUGCAAGUCGAACGGAAAGGCCCUGCUUUUGUGGGGUGCUCGAGUGGCGAACGGGUGAGUAACACGUGAGUAACCUGCCCUUGACUUUGGGAUAACUUCAGGAAAUUGGGGCUAAUACCGGAUAGGAGCUCCUGCUGCAUGGUGGGGGUUGGAAAGUUUCGGCGGUUGGGGAUGGACUCGCGGGUUAUCAGCUUGUUGGUGGGGUAGUGGCUUACCAAGGCUUUGACGGGUAGCCGGCCUGAGAGGGUGGCCGGCCACAUUGGGACUGAGAUACGGCCCAGACUCCUACGGGAGGCAGCAGUGGGGAAUAUUGCACAAUGGGCGGAAGCCUGAUGCAGCAGCGCCGCGUGCGGGAUGACGGCCUUCGGGUUGUAAACCGCUUUCGCCUGUGACGAAGCGUGAGUGACGGUAAUGGGUAAAGAAGCACCGGCUAACUACGUG